rnacentral:lncRNA from 1 species
UGAGACUUGAACCCGGGUCCUCCAGAGUGGAAAGCCGAAGCGUUUCCACUCUGUAGGACUCGUGUUCGAGUUUUGGGUCCCACCUCUCAAAAAUAUUUAUUCAUGGAAUCCUGGCCAGGCUCGUCGAUCCCCGUCUUUCACAAUCCGAGUGACCCCUCUGCAGAGGUGGGCAGCCUGUGGAAGGCUUGUUUCGCCCCGCCACUUAGUACUGUUAUAUAUUGUUUCUUCCGAGAUUAUAUUACGAGCUGGCAGCACGGCCGGACACAGGAGAGCACAGCUUGGAAGUGCACAUGCUUUAGUAUGUCUCGGGAAUAAAAUGUAUUAAUUGAUCUUUACAAUAAAUACUUAGAUUGAAAAGUGGGUACGGGUGUCAUAUGUCUGCCCUCGAAAAUUCGACCCAAUUUAUAGUGCAACCCCCU